GACGAACGCUGGCGGCGUGCCUAAUACAUGCAAGUAGAACGCUGAAGAGAGGAGCUUGCUCUUCUUGGAUGAGUUGCGAACGGGUGAGUAACGCGUAGGUAACCUGCCUUGUAGCGGGGGAUAACUAUUGGAAACGAUAGCUAAUACCGCAUAACAAUGGAUGACACAUGUCAUUUAUUUGAAAGGGGCAAUUGCUCCACUACAAGAUGGACCUGCGUUGUAUUAGCUAGUAGGUGAGGUAAUGGCUCACCUAGGCGACGAUACAUAGCCGACCUGAGAGGGUGAGCGGCCACACUGGGACUGAGACACGGCCCAGACUCCUACGGGAGGCAGCAGUAGGGAAUCUUCGGCAAUAGGGGCAACCCUGACCGAGCAACGCCGCGUGAGUGAAGAAGGUUGUCGGAUCGUAAAGCUCUGUUGUAAGUCAAGAACGGGUGUGAGAGUGGAAAGUUCACACUGUGACGGUAGCUUACCAGAAAGGGACGGCUAACUACGUG
rnacentral:rRNA from 1 species